GGAAGCCGUUUUAGCAGAAGACGAGUUGACUAUUGGAAGUGUUUCCACGCCAUUUCUCCAGCAUUCAGAGAUGGCUUCGUCGAGAACAAGGUUCUAAGUACUUGUCAGGGCGAAUCUUCAAUCGAAGCAUACGCGAAUACCACGUGGUGAGACUUUGACAAAAAUAUGAUGAAGCAAUUACGGGGAAGUACUUGUGGAAUAUCUUGCACAGUGAAAGUUGUGUUCAAACUUUCUUGAUGGACUUCAAACAUGUUCGUGGCUUUUAAUGUAUAUUUGCCCAUGUUGGAACUGAUGGCAUAAUGAGUGCCAGACAGGUGGAGAACUGGUCUGUUUGAUGGCUGUGAGCUUUUUCGUUACUGGUGAAGAGGAUUGGGUUCGUGGUUCGAGAGGCUAUUUCUGUACCUGAGCACUAGGCCUUGGCGAAUAUGGUCAGCCCUACCGUCUCGUUGUGUUGGGACAACGUCAUUUAAUUGUUGAGGUAUAGCUUCUGAAUGAACUGGUCAUUUAUGGAUGUUGUCUAUAUCUUGGUUCUGAAAUACAUUGUCUAUCCUUAAA